CACAAGUAAGACAAUCACUUGUGUUUCCCUACGUGAUCACUAAGUGGAAAGGAGAAUUGCCUAGGAUCCUUCCAUGUGUCCCUAAUAGCUCUUUUUAUCAUGGUCCAAAGACGACUAUUCCAAAGCUAAUUCUCUCCUCAAACCAUCCCUUCAUCUUUUUCAGGGAUGACUAGCUUCGUCUUUCAAAUAUAAAACUGAAGCCACCAGAAGUGAAUGCCUAUAUCAUUUUUGACAUAGAAGCCCUCUUAAUAUACACUGUGUGACAGCUGAUGUUCAUCUCUCAGGGACCUACAGACUCGAAAGAGGAAUUCUCUAUGAGAAGUACCUGCACGCAGAUAUAAGCCCCACCUCGUCUGAGAGGAAGGAUGCAGCCUACAGUGGGAAGGACCUUCUUUUCUGAGAAUCCUUUUGAAAAAUAGUUGCCUGUGUCACAGCAAAAGCAAGAUGAAAGUGUCUAGAAGGAGGUGCAGACAAGGAGCAGCCCAGAGGUGGGGCUCUGGCAGGCGGCACUGGAAGGCCUGUGAGCUUCAAGCUGUGGCUCACGGGGGCGUUCGGUCACUGUACAGUUCCUGGCCAUCGCAUGGACCAGAUGCCUCUUUCCAUGGGCGUUGGCCACUGUGGCUCCAUUCAGCUUGGACUUUGCUCCCUGGACCUGUGUGUGCAGUGGUCAGAGUUGGAGCUACAACACAAGGCAGAGUAAACCCCUGCCUUUCCCUCACAGCCUGUCCAGGACAAAUGGGGCUGGAGUAACUGAGCAGCCUUACCUCCUCGGUACAGAAGCGAGCGGAGGACCUCACAUGCCACGCACAAUACUGGGUGACUCCUCCAUUAUUGACGGCUCCACCCUCCAGUUAUUGAUGGCCAUAUUCAGCAGGCUGUGUCCUAUUGAAGUAAAAACAAAUGGCAGGACACAGAGGAGGAAUUAAUUAGGAGGAGAAACAGAGGAGGUUUUCUUUCAGUCAGUUUUGAGUUAAUUGGCAUUACUUUAUUCUUUUGGAUUUUAUUUACUUGCUGUUUACUUAUUAUUUGCUCUAUUACUUCAUAUUCUUGUUCUUUAAUCCAAAUUUACAUUAGAAGUACAGUGUGUCUUAGAUGAACUGUAACUUCUGGAAACUGCUCAGUCAUCAAAACUAAGCUGGCAAGAAAUUGACAACAAACUCUCCUUCUCUUCCAGCUGUGAACUCUAAAGUUUCUGUCUACAUGUACAAAAGAUAAAAGAAAAUAAACAUUUGCAUUUUGUGCAUAAGGGAAAAUCUAUUGUCUUUUUCUUUAAAAAAUGACAAAUGGGCAUUUUUAAGUUUCAAAUUUACAUAAAACUCAACAGAUUUUUAUCAAUUGUUGAUAUUAUAUUCACGUGACAUAUUUAUUGCAGUUAGUGAACCAAUACCACUGCUCUUAACUGAUGUCCAUAUUUUUUUGUUCAGAUUGCCUUAGCUUUUACAUGAUGUCCUGUUAACGAAUCUGAGCCAAUCAUUUUUAUUACUCAUUUAUUAUUGCAAGACUGCAUCUCACUAACUUGUGAAAUUUCCCAAAAUGGGUUCUGACUUACAAUCCCCCUGCUUCAGCCUCCCAGAGUGCUGUAAUUACAGUCAUAUACCACUAUGCCUGGCUUUCACAUUGAUUUUAAUAAUAUUUUCUUUACUUCCUUUUGGCUGUAGCAGUUUAUUAGAUAUUCCUUAUUUCUGCUAACUUUAGUAGCUUUAGAAAAUUCUGGUUAGCUAUUUUUAGAACACCAUUCAUUUGCAAUUUGUUUUUUUGGAGUUAUGGUUUUUAAGGGGAAAAAUAAAUGUAUGUUCAUCACAUCAUUUCAGAAGCACACACUGUUGACAUGAGUGUCACUGUAUCCUGAUUCUGAUACCUGGCAGAGGUGUUUCUUAGGUUUCUUCACUGUGCAGUACAGCGUAAGUUUUAAUAUCAUGUUUAUUGGAGGGAAGGAACUUUACUCAGUGCACAGUUACGGAGCAGAGAGUUAUGCUUCUGCUACUUGAAGGCAGAGCAUUUACAGAAACUCCUAGAAGUUCUUCUCUAUGAGAAGCUUGUCUCUUGUCCCCAUUCAUUUUAAUCAGUUUUAUUUAUAUUAGUACAAUCUCAUAUGUACUUAUUUUAUAUCUUGGAUUUAAGAAGCCAAUGUCACUUUUGUUUUGUUCCCUAAACUUUUCUGGUUUUGAGGAUUGGUAGCUUUUCAGUUGGCUUCUGUGUCUCUCUAAUGAAUGUCCCUGAAUAUUGGUUUUGUCUUUCCUACCUUCUGGCAAGAUAAGGUCCUGCAGGCUCACCUUCUGUAUUUCCUGCCCCAGUCUUAGGAAAGGUCAUUUCUCCAUAAAGUGCUGACUCCAUUAAUGCAGGAAAGUGUUUGAAACCAACAGUUGGUUUUCAGGCAUACUGUGUGCUCGCAAAGUAUUAUCCCCAGCCUCUCCCAUGUGAUACAGAGAGCAUCCUCUCCAUAUGUCAAUAGUCUAUAUGUGGCUAAAAUGUGAGAAAACAGUCUGGUUCUGUGGUUGUGAAUAUUUAUGUUUCCUGAUAUGCUUUCUAAGCAGAGGAUCCCUCAAUCAAACUCUUGCUCACUUGGAGUCAGAGGUUGAGUUCCUUAAAAAAAUUAAAAAAACAAAACAAAACAAAACAAAAAAACAGGUGACAGAGUGCAGCUUUGUUCUUCCAAUCCAGAAUCUGGCCCAAGAGUAGCAACAACAGAAAACAUGGAAGUCACACUGACUUGGGCUAUUUUUUACACAUACAAUGGGAUUUUCUGCACACUUCUAUUCAUCACUUCUAGCCCAAUAUUGGCUGCCUUUACCUGGCUCUUGGUUUCUAUUUGUCCCACGGCUUCCAAU
ensembl:lincRNA